UGUGGAACUUAUGGGUGUAGGUAUGG
rnacentral:piRNA from 1 species